rnacentral:rRNA from 1 species
GACGAACGCUGGCGGCGUGCUUAACACAUGCAAGUCGAACGGAAAGGCCCCUUUGGGGGUACUCGAGUGGCGAACGGGGGCGUAACACGUGAGUAACCUGCCCUUGACUUUGGGAUAACUUCAGGAAACUGGGGCCAAUACCGGAAAGGAAUCCUUGCUGCAUGGGGGGGGUUGGAAAGCUUCGGGGGGUUUGGGUGGACUCGCGGGUUAUCAGCUUGUUGGUGGGGUGAUGGCUUACCAAGGCGUUGGCGGGUAGCCGGCCAGGGUGGGCGACCGGCGACAUUGGGACUGAGGGACGGCCCAGGCUCCUACGGGAGGGAGCUGUGGGGAAUAUUGCCCGAUGGGCGGCGGGCGGGUGCAGAAGCGCCGCGUGCGGGAUGACGGCCUUCGGGUUGAAGACCGCUUUCAGCAGGAGCGAAGCUUGUGGUGACGGUACCUGCAGAAGAAGCACCGGCUAACUACGUG